GCCUGUUUCUGGACCGGUACAGAGCUAGCCUUGUUGAUGCAAUAAAGAGAUUACUCCAGCCCAGUGGAAAAGCAAUGGUAUUUGCUCCACUCCGAGGGAAUACUUUAAACCAGUUCUGCAAUCUAGCUGAAAAAGCUGGUUUCUCUAUCCAAAGACAUGAAAAUUAUGAUGAACACAUUUCGAACUUCCACUCCAAGGCAAAGGAAGACCUCCUCACCUUUUAAAAAAUCUAUAUCCAGAGUAGGACUACAUAGCUAUGUAACCCACACAUCGAGAAUAUUAAGUACAUAAUUGAUGUUCUAUAAUGAUAUGCCUUAGGAAAUGUUGUUUAUCUGUGAAUAAAAAUAUUCUCAUCC